GUAUGUGUACAGGGUCUCAUCUCUCCAGUUCUUUUUUACUUUUCCCCGCCAAUGGCCUGGUUUCCGUGCUCAUGUGCAGAGGGGCCUGUUUCUUUUUUGCGCCCCAUUAGGUUAGUGCAUGUGUUUGUUACAGUUGCAGAUGACGUUGGUAGUGAUCAUUGUUAUGGGCAAAAGCCUCCUGAAAUUUUGUGAAUACAAGAUCUCUGAUGCACACACUAGUCCUUGUUAGUGCGAUUAUUUCUCACUGCCUUCGGAC
rnacentral:misc_RNA from 1 species